rnacentral:rRNA from 1 species
UGCGAACCGAGCGAACGUUGUUCGGAAUCACUGGGCUUAAAGGGCGCGUAGGCGGGCGCUCACGUCUGGGGUGAAAUCCUCCGGCUCAACCGGAGAACUGCCAUGGAUACUGGGUGUCUCGAGGGUGGUAGGGGUAUGCGGAACUAUCGGUGGAGCGGUGAAAUGCGUUGAGAUCGAUAGGAACUCCGGUGGCGAAGGCGGCAUACUGGACCACUUCUGACGCUGAGGCGCGAAAGCCAGGGGAGCAAACGGG